UGGAAAGUCAUGCUCGCGGUUAUUUGGCAACUUGGAACUUUACUUAACACCCGGUCAUAGAAAACUUGAAGUAAACUUAACUAAAACAUGCCAACUAUGUAUAUAACCGUGACUGUAUCUUCUCGUGAGUUCUUAUCCGAGCGAGGACACGGUGGGGUUAUGUCUGACUCAUAAGUAGGUGUUUACGAUUACUUCGUGAUCAUUGUAGUUCACGUCUGUUUAUGCGUAGAUCACACCCCUCUUAUUUUUGUACUCGUAAGUUAGCCACUCAAAUAAAAUGCUUAGUUGCUUGCUGAACCCUCACCAUUUAACGAUACCUCGCCCAUUAAGCUUUGCUAGUCUUGAUACGUUUGAAAAUGAGAUUGCUGAGUCCCAGUGGCUCACAGAUUACUACAACAACAAUUGCAGGUACGGAUAAAGCGUUACUUUGACGUGAGCGCGACUAUUGUUCUAUUUGGAGUUUCUUCUUCUUCUUCUUUAUCGAUCUAGGAUGGGUUCUAGGCCGGCAACCUGGGAUAGCAAGGAUGGAUGUCGUUAUUUUAUCAUUUGAUUUCAUCCAUAGACGGACCCGACUCUUCUACAUGGUGAUUGAUUGAAUGGAUGUAUUGUGAUGUUCAUGUUGUAGCUUGUGGAGAGUUUAAGACAAUUCCAUAUACUCAUUUCUUCUGUACAUGUACUUGUAACGAUAUCCAUUCUUGUGACACGAUGAGAUUCUCUUCUAUCCCGGUCGAGGACCUUGUGCAAAAAUUAGGAUAGCAUCACAUCUUGGACGUAACAAAGAACCACGGAGUUCUCUACUCAACCCCAAGU
rnacentral:lncRNA from 1 species